CCCGUCCGCUCAGCCGUACUUAAGCCACACGCCGGGAGGUUAGUAGUUGGGUGGGUGACCACCAGCGAAUCCCUCCUGUUGUAUGUA
rnacentral:rRNA from 1 species